GUCGUCGGUUAUCAGUCAAACGAGCACAAACAGCCAUCAACUUGUGGGAGGAUCACACACUACUAGUCGUACGCCAAGGAAUUUGAGCAAUUUGAAGUGAGGAGUGAAUUCAACUCGUUCUCGCGUGCGUAUUUUGGAGUGUUUGGCGUUUUGAAAAGUUCGAAUUUCCUGGAACACACUUUGGGCGAAGAGCUCGCGUGGAAUUCUAAUUACCUUCUCUAACCUCAUUGAGGAAAGAAGCAAAUCGAACUAACAUGAAGGAAAUCCCUGCCACAAGCCGUCCAUUACAUACCAAGAUGCGUGAAUACAAGAUCGUGGUCUUGGGUUCGGGAGGCGUGGGUAAAUCCGCUCUCACGGUUCAAUUCGUCCAGGGUAUCUUUGUGGAGAAGUACGAUCCCACCAUCGAGGACUCCUACAGAAAGCAAGUAGAGGUGGACAACCAUCAAUGCAUGCUCGAAAUCCUUGACACGGCAGGAACGGAACAAUUUACAGCCAUGCGAGAUCUUUAUAUGAAAAAUGGACAAGGAUUCGUCCUGGUUUAUUCCAUCACAGCCCAAUCCACCUUUAAUGAUCUUCAAGACUUGCGGGAACAAAUCUUACGAGUUAAAGAUACUGAGGAUGUCCCCAUGGUCUUAGUUGGUAACAAAUGUGAUUUGGAAGAGGAAAGGGUAGUUGGCAAGGACCAAGGCUUAAACCUGGCGAGCCAAUUCAGCAACUGUUCCUUCAUGGAAACCUCUGCAAAAGCCAAGAUUGGAGUAAAGGAUAUCUUCUUUGACCUCGUGAUGCAAAUCAAUAAGCGCGCUCCAGCUCGAAAAACCAAGAGACCCAAGCGUUCCAGGUGCAGGAUCCUUUAGAUGUUCCACACGUCUUGGAGGAUCAUGAUCCAUGAGUCGCCUUUGGAGCUGCAAAUGAAGAACAGAAUGCAAUUGGCUUGUAGAAUGUGUGUAUGUUUGUCUGUCUUUGAAUCCUUGGAAAACAACAAUGUGCAAGCUAAUAUUCACAAUUAAAGAGGAAUCGAAUGUUCAUUUGCGUGUGUAAUAGCGUCUUAUUUUACCCAUGGUACAAUAACUUGAUAUCCUCCACUCAGAUUUUCUUUGACCUGGUCCGACAAAUCAAUCGACGGACUCCUGACAAUCCGCAAAAGAAGAAAAAGAAGCGAUGCGUUCUGCUUUGAAAAGAAUCAAUCCCUAACACGAUAUCAUCCCCCCAUUACCCCAUUGACUGACUUUUUGGACACUUGGAAAAGUGAUUCAUUGCUGGACACUCAAGUGGUCUCCGCCCUAAAAACCGCAUUACUUCUCUUAUUUUUCGUUUCACUAUCAUCAACAAUCAUGCUGGACAAACCAUUGCCUUUAAAAUCCAAAAACUGCUCGUUUGAAUGUGUGUUGAUAUGUGUCGCCCCGUUUUUACGCCCGUACACGUGAAUAUCAACCAUGACAGUGAAAACAUGUGUCUUUACUAUAUUUGUAUCCAAUUAAUAAAUGGCUAUAUAUGAAAA